CCAGGAGACAGCCCAGAGGUACAGCUGGCAGUGCUAUCUGGCUGUUCAAAUAAACAACCUACAUAUGAUGAGCGAGGUGCAUCUGUCUUCUUUGUGACAGAGUCUAUCACCAGCCUGGAUCUUGCCAGAUAGACUAAGCUGACUGAUCAACCAUCUCCAGGGACUCACUUUUCUUUGCCUACCUAACACUGGGAUUAAAGAGAGCAUUGGACGUG